ACGGGGGGAACGCGAAGAACCUUACCUAGGCUUGACAUGCAGUGGCUAUCACCAGAGAUGGUGAGUUCCUUAGGGACUGCUGCACAGGUGCUGCAUGGCUGUCGUCAGCUCGUGCCGUGAGGUGUUGGGUUAAGUCCCGCAACGAGCGCAACCCUUAUUGUUAGUUGCCAACAGGUAAUGCUGGGAACUCUAACGAGACUGCCCGGGUGAACCGGGAGGAAGGUGGGGAUGACGUCAAGUCAGCAUGGCCCUUAUGUCUAGGGCUACUCACGUGCUACAAUGGUCGGUACAGAGGGAAGCGAAGCCGCGAGGUGAAGCAAAUCCCAGAAAGCCGGCCCCAGUUCAGAUUGCAGUCUGCAACUCGACUGCAUGAAGUUGGAAUUGCUAGUAAUGGCGCGUCAGCA
rnacentral:rRNA from 1 species